rnacentral:tRNA from 1 species
CAGAAAAUAGUUUAUAAAAAUAUUAAUUUUGGAGAUUAAAGAUAAAGGUUUCUUUUUUUCUGA